rnacentral:rRNA from 1 species
AUUGAACGCUGGCGGCAGGCCUAACACAUGCAAGUCGAGCGGAUGAAGGGAGCUUGCUCCUGGAUUCAGCGGCGGACGGGUGAGUAAUGCCUAGGAAUCUGCCUGGUAUUGGGGGAUAACGUCCGGAAACGGGCGCUAAUACCGCAUACGUCCUGAGGUAGAACGUGGGGGAUCUUCGGACCUCACGCUAUCAGAUGAGCCUAGGUCGGAUUAGCUAGUUGGUGGGGUAAAGGCCUACCAAGGCGACGAUCCGUAACUGGUCUGAGAGGAUGAUCAGUCACACUGGAACUGAGACACGGUCCAGACUCCUACGGGAGGCAGCAGUGGGGAAUAUUGGACAAUGGGCGAAAGCCUGAUCCAGCCACGCCGCGUGUGUGAAGAAGGUCUUCGGAUUGUAAAGCACUUUAAGUUGGGAGGAAGGGCAGUAAGUUAAUACCUUGCUGUUUUGACGUUACCAACAGAAUAAGCACCGGCUAACUUCGUG